rnacentral:rRNA from 1 species
CCUACGGGUGGCAGCAGUGGGGAAUAUUGGACAAUGGGCGAAAGCCUGAUCCAGCCAUGCCGCGUGUGUGAAGAAGGCCUUCGGGUUGUAAAGCACUUUCAGUGGGGAAGAAAGCCUUGGGGCUAAUACCCUCGAGGGAGGACAUCACCCACAGAAUAAGCACCGGCUAACUCCGUGCCAGCAGCCGCGGUAAUACGGAGGGUGCGAGCGUUAAUCGGAAUUACUGGGCGUAAAGCGCGCGUAGGCGGUCUGAUAAGCCGGUUGUGAAAGCCCCGGGCUCAACCUGGGAACGGCAUCCGGAACUGUCAGGCUAGAGUGCAGGAGAGGAAGGUAGAAUUCCCGGUGUAGCGGUGAAAUGCGUAGAGAUCGGGAGGAAUACCAGUGGCGAAGGCGGCCUUCUGGACUGACACUGACGCUGAGGUGCGAAAGCGUGGGUAGCAAACAGGAUUAGAUACCCCUGUAGUC